rnacentral:rRNA from 1 species
GAUGAACGCUGGCGGCGUGCCUAAUACAUGCAAGUCGAGCGAACGGACGAGAAGCUUGCUUCUCUGAUGUUAGCGGCGGACGGGUGAGUAACACGUGGAUAACCUACCUAUAAGACUGGGAUAACUUCGGGAAACCGGAGCUAAUACCGGAUAAUAUUUUGAACCGCAUGGUUCAAAAGUGAAAGACGGUCUUGCUGUCACUUAUAGAUGGAUCCGCGCUGCAUUAGCUAGUUGGUAAGGUAACGGCUUACCAAGGCAACGAUGCAUAGCCGACCUGAGAGGGUGAUCGGCCACACUGGAACUGAGACACGGUCCAGACUCCUACGGGAGGCAGCAGUAGGGAAUCUUCCGCAAUGGGCGAAAGCCUGACGGAGAAACGCCGCGUGAGUGAUGAAGGUCUUCGGAUCGUAAAACUCUGUUAUUAGGGAAGAACAUAUGUGUAAGUAACUGUGCACAUCUUGACGGUACCUAAUCAGAAAGACACGGCUAACUACGUG